rnacentral:rRNA from 1 species
AUGCAACUAUUUCCAGGCAACAAGACAUGGUCAUCAGAGCUGAGCUUUGUGUUAUCGGACCAGAGGAUAUGGUCAUCCAUUAGUGUUUACGACCAAGAAACCACAACAUGCAAAGCCAGUGUUUCUGGAGCUGCUUGUCUGAGAGUUCCAGAAACUUGGAGGACUCCAGUACCCGAGCUGAGGCAACCUGGGCAUUUGAAGCACAAGAAAGAUGAGGUCAGUGGUCUGAGAACUGGAGACCCUUGGCCCUCCCAGACAGGAGGUCACCUAAGCUCUUUGCUCGGGCACAAAAGGGCUACCGUGGAGACAGUUUAUAGAGCUGUCUAA